CAAUAGCGUAUAUUAAAGUUGUUGCAGUUAAAACGCUCGUAGUUGGAUUUCUGGUGGGAGCGAUCGGUCUGGCGCUUAGCGCGAGUACUUGCAUCGUCUCCGGCCAUCCUUGGGGAGAGUCUGUCUGGCAUUAAGUUGUCGGGCAGAGGAUCCUCAUCGUUUACUGUGAAAAAAUUAGAGUGUUCAAAGCAGGCUUAUGCCGUUGAAUAUAUUAGCAUGGAAUAAUAAGAUAGGACCUUGGUACUAUUUUGUUGGUUUGCGCACCGAGGUAAUGAUUAACAGGGACAGUUGGGGGUAUUCGUAUUCCAUUGUCAGAGGUGAAAUUCUUGGAUUUCUGGAAGACGAACUACUGCGAAAGCAUUUACCAAGGAUGUUUUCAUUAA
rnacentral:rRNA from 1 species